CCUACGGGUGGCAGCAGUGGGGAAUAUUGCACAAUGGGCGAAAGCCUGAUGCAGCAACGCCGCGUGAAGGAAGACGGUUCUCGGAUUGUAAACCUCUGUUUUUAGUGAAGAAUAAUGACGGUAACUAAGGAGCAAGCCACGGCUAACUACGUGCCAGCAGCCGCGGUAAUACGUAGGUGGCAAGCGUUGUCCGGAAUUACUGGGGGUAAAUGGAGCGUAGGCGGGUAGCCAAGUCAGCUGUGAAAACUACGGGCUUAAACUGGAGACUGCAGUUGAAACUGGCUUUCUUGAGUGAAGUAGAGGUUGGCGGAAUUCCGGGUGUAGCGGUGAAAUGCAUAGAUAUUCGGAAGAACACCGAUGGCGAAGGCAGCCAGCUGGGCUUUAACUGACGCUGAGGCUCGAAAGUGUGGGGAGCAAACAGGAUUAGAUACCCCGGUAGUC
rnacentral:rRNA from 1 species